UGGGAGUUUGAUGUGGGUUACACAGCCAUUGAGGGCAGUGAACACGGCUGGGAGCUCAGCUCCUGCUGGCAAUUGCUGAGUGCUGGCAAAGGGGCUCCUCCUUCAUCGUGGGAGCACUUCUGAACAGUGACAAUCAGUAAGUGCAGCUAAAAGCAUGAGGAAAAGUGGUGAAACCAGAAGCCAUGAUUUGCCUCACCCACUGCCUCCUGGUUCAGCCAUCUGUGGUGUCUGGUGGAGGAAGGCCCAGAGUGCUCCUUCAACUGCUGAGCCCCUUCUGAUGUCAGCUGCCCAGUCACCUGUACUUCCAGAGCACUGUUCAGCAGCAUCUCCUUGCUUUUUGGACUGAAGCAUUUGGAAGCCAGUGAUUAGGAAGCCUCCAUGACAAGAAUGGGACAGUCACCUUAGCUGGAAGCAAAUACAGCUUUUGCAGCUGAUUUGAUAACAAGCCUUGGAAAAGGACCCUGA